rnacentral:rRNA from 1 species
GUGCCAGCCGCCGCGGUAAUACCGGCAGCCCGAGUGAUGUCCCAUAUUAUUGGGCCUAAAGCGUCCGUAGCUGGCCGACCAAGUCUCCCGGGAAAUCCACCCGCCCAACGGGUGGGCGUCCGGUGGAAACUGUGUGGCUUGGGACCGGAAGGCGCGACGGGUACGUCCGGGGUAGGAGUGAAAUCCCGUAAUCCCGGACGGACUACCGAUGGCGAAAGCACUCUGAGAAGACGGCUUCGACAGUGAGGGACGAAAGCUCGGGUCUCAAACCGGAUUAGAUACCCCGGUAGUCC